rnacentral:lncRNA from 1 species
AUGAUAUUCCGUCUUCUGCUCCACUGUGACUGCGAAGCUCUUCGUGUCCGCAGGAACCGAAUGCAGCCCGCGUGUGUGCAUCGUCUCUGUCCUGGGGGGGCGGCGCCGGAGAUGGAGCGCAGCGCUCUGCUCGACGCCUCGGGUGUGUCGCCGGAUGAGGAACUGUCCGUAAAAGACGUCCGCCGUGUUUUCCACAAGGUGCUUCACGUGUCCGUGAGCCCACGGGAUGUGGAGAAAGCCAUCAGAAAGGUAACUGGGGACACCCACGGCCCUGUUUGCGGCGCGGGGAAGCUGCUGGACGUCCUUGCCGAGAUUGAGAAUGAGCGUGUCACCAGCGAGGAGCUCUACUGGGAUUUCCAAAUGCUAAAUGCUGGGAGGCUUCGAACGCUGGAACAUUUGUAUGCAAAGGAUAUAAAGCUCUCAGUCAGGAGCUUUUCGCCCACAAUGCCUUGGAGCUCCCCAUGCCUUCAUGACCAAAGGCAGAAAAAUCAAGAAGCUCGGACGCGAAGCCUUUCCCAAGAACGUACGCACGGUGAAGAAGAUCUCUUGUUGGGCGUAAGUGGACUGCAGGGGGAGCGACUAAAGAAGAGGUUCUACGCGCGGAGGCUUAAGAAAGAUGUGAGGAGGCUGUGCAACAGGCUGUCAAAGGCUGGAUUGCACGUUGUCCUGCCGUCACUGUGCAGCAGCGCUGAGGGUCCUGCAGGAGCACAAGGCAUCAAAACUGGGGAAACGGUACCAUCCGAUGCUGACAUGUUUCAGGAUGUGGAGGAUAAAUAUGACACCUUGCGACGCAAACUCUGCAGAGAGAUGCUCCAGCAGCACCACGGUGAUGCAGAAAUGCGCAAUCUCUGA